UGGACAAUGGGCGCAAGCCUGAUCCAGCCAUGCCGCGUGAGUGAUGAAGGCCCUAGGGUUGUAAAGCUCUUUCGCCAGGGACGAUAAUGACGGUACCUGGAUAAGAAGCCCCGGCUAACUUCGUGCCAGCAGCCGCGGUAAUACGAAGGGGGCUAGCGUUGUUCGGAAUCACUGGGCGUAAAGCGCACGUAGGCGGAUUGUUAAGUCAGGGGUGAAAUCCCGAGGCUCAACCUCGGAACUGCCUUUGAUACUGGCGAUCUAGAGUCCGGGAGAGGUGAGUGGAACUGCGAGUGUAGAGGUGAAAUUCGUAGAUAUUCGCAAGAACACCAGUGGCGAAGGCGGCUCACUGGCCCGGAACUGACGCUGAGGUGCGAAAGCGUGGGGAGCAAACAGGAUUAGAUCCCUGGUAGUCCACGCCGUAAACGAUGGAUGCUAGCCGUGGGGAGCUUGUCUUAGUGGCGCACUACGCUUAACAUCCGCUGGGGAGUCCGUCGCAAGAUUAAACUAAGGAAUGACGGGGCCGACAACGGGGACAUUGGUUAAUUCAACACCCAGACUACAGUUUGGUGCCGUUAAGGCAUCACC
rnacentral:rRNA from 1 species